GAAACUGGCUCCACCACCCUGGUGAUAGGAACAGAAGGUCCUAUGGAGUCUUCCCAUAGCAAGAAACCAGGCUUGUAACAGGGUGUAAUAGAGUGACACCCCACACCUGAUGCCCUGUAAAUGCAGAGUCUGCAAAUGCCUCUCUUUUGAUGCUUUCUCAAGGAAAGCACUGUCUUAGAACCUGGCUCACCUGAUUUUGCCGAUGAGUCAACUUUGAAGUGUGCCUCAUUCUGGAAAGUGAAUCACGUAAUCACAAAUAAAAAAUUGAAUUAGUUUCCAACAUUUCACAAUCAAGAGAUUUCACAGAUGAAACUAGUUUUUCUGGAAAAAUGAGAAGAUCUGGAAA
rnacentral:lncRNA from 10 species